rnacentral:rRNA from 1 species
CAGCCGCCACGGGAAUACAGAGGGUGCGAGCGUUAAUCGGAUUUUCUGGGCGUAAAGCGUGCGUAGGCGGCUUCUUAAGUCGGAUGUGAAAUCCCUGAGCUUAACUUAGGAAUUGCAUUCGAUACUGGGAAGCUAGAGUAUGGGAGAGGAUGGUAGAAUUCCAGGUGUAGCGGUGAAAUGCGUAGAGAUCUGGAGGAAUACCGAUGGCGAAGGCAGCCAUCUGGCCUAAUACUGACGCUGAGGUACGAAAGCAUGGGGAGCAAACAGGAUUAGAUACCCCCGUAGUCCCUGUCUCUUAUAC